rnacentral:rRNA from 1 species
CGGACCUCUAAUCGGAAANGACUACCCGCUGAGUUUAA